rnacentral:rRNA from 1 species
GCACAAGCGGUGGAGCAUGUGGUUAAUUCGAAGCAACGCGAAGAACCUUACCAGGUCUUGACAUCCCGCUGACCGCCUAGGAGACUAGGCUUUCCCUUCGGGGACAGCGGUGACAGGUGGUGCAUGGUUGUCGUCAGCUCGUGUCGUGAGAUGUUGGGUUAAGUCCCGCAACGAGCGCAACCCUUGAUCUUAGUUGCCAGCAUUCAGUUGGGCACUCUAAGGUGACUGCCGGUGACAAACCGGAGGAAGGUGGGGAUGACGUCAAAUCAUCAUGCCCCUUAUGACCUGGGCUACACACGUGCUACAAUGGACGGUACAAAGGGCUGCAAACCCGCGAGGGGGAGCCAAUCCCAUAAAACCGUUCUCAGUUCGGAUUGCAGGCUGCAACUCGCCUGCAUGAAGCCGGAAUCGCUAGUAAUCGCGGAUCAGCAUGCCGCGGUGAAUACGUUCCCGGGCCUU